GGAGUGGCUGUAGUUCAUUGGUAGAGCAUCUGUUUUGCAUGCAGAAGGUCACAGGUUCAAUCCCCAGCAUCUCCA